rnacentral:tRNA from 1 species
GCCUGGCUAGCUCGGCUGGUGGAGCAUGCGACUUUUGAUCUUAGGGUUGUGAGUUUGAGCCCCACGUCAAGUA